rnacentral:misc_RNA from 1 species
CGUUCUCUUCCUUGUCUUCUCUUUUCGUUGAGACUCCUAACUCUGAACCCCACAAUAGCUACAAUCAUCAGCUAGAGACAUAGAUUCUAGGGUUUUCUUACACACUUCAUUCUAAACUAAAUUCGAUUCAAAGCAAAUGGAAGGAGUCAGCAAUGGAGGGAUGUUGUACCAUGAGGUGCAAGAGGCCAAGCUUUGCGCCGUACAUUGCGUCAACACGGUGUUGCAGGGACCCUUCUUCUCCGAAUUUGAUUUGGCAGCGCUCGCUUCCGAUCUUGAUUGCAAGGAGCGCCAGAUGAUGCAAGAGGGCAGCGUUUCCACUGGCGAUUUCCUCUCCGCCGAAUCCCACAACGUCUCCUUGGACGGCGACUUUAGUAUACAGGUCCUA